rnacentral:rRNA from 1 species
GUGUCAGCCGCCGCGGUAAUACGGAGGGUGCAAGCGUUGUUCGGAAUCACUGGGCGUAAAGCGCGUGCAGGCGGCUCGCUAAGUCUGGUGUGAAAGCCCGGGGCUCACCCCCGGAAGUGCACUGGAUACUGGCGAGCUCGAGUCCCGGAGAGGAGGGUGGAAUUCCUGGUGUAGCGGUGAAAUGCGUAGAUAUCAGGAGGAAAACCGGCGGCGAAGGCGGCCCUCUGGACGGUGACUGACGCUGAGACGCGAAAGCGUGGGGAGCAAACAGGAUUAGAUACCCUGGUAGUCCACGCCGUAAACGAUGAGCACUAGGUGUCGCGGGUAUUGACCCCUGCGGUGCCGUCGCAAACGCAUUAAGUGCUCCGCCUGGGGAGUACGGUCGCAAGAUUAAAACUUAAAUGAAUUGACGGGG